rnacentral:rRNA from 1 species
AUUGAACGCUGGCGGCAUGCUUUACACAUGCAAGUCGAACGGUAACAGGUUAAGCUGACGAGUGGCGAACGGGUGAGUAAUGCAUCGGAACGUGCCCGAUCGUGGGGGAUAACGCAGCGAAAGCUGCGCUAAUACCGCAUACGAUCUGAGGAUGAAAGCGGGGGACCGUAAGGCCUCGCGCGAUCGGAGCGGCCGAUGUCGGAUUAGGUAGUUGGUGGGGUAAAGGCUCACCAAGCCAACGAUCUGUAGCUGGUCUGAGAGGACGACCAGCCACACUGGGACUGAGAAACGGCCCAGACUCCUACGGGAGGCAGCAGUGGGGAAUUCUGGACAAUGGGCGAAAGCCUGAUCCAGCAAUGCCGCGUGCAGGAAGAAGGCCUUCGGGUUGUAAACUGCUUUUGUACGGAGCGAAAAGGCUCUCUCUAAUACAGGGGGCUCAUGACGGUACCGUAAGAAUAAGCACCGGCUAACUACGUGCCAGCCGCCGCCGUAAUAC